rnacentral:rRNA from 1 species
CAACGAGCGCAACCCUCGUCGUUAAUUGCCAUCAUUUAGUUGGGCACUUUAACGAGACUGCCGGUGACAAACCGGAGGAAGGUGGGGAUGACGUCAAGUCCUCAUGGCCCUUAUGGGUAGGGCUUCACACGUCAUACAAUGGUCGGUACAGAGGGUUGCCAAGCCGCGAGGUGGAGCCAAUCCCAGAAAGCCGAUCGUAGUCCGGAUUGCAGGCUGCAACUCGCCUGCAUGAAGUCGGAAUCGCUAGUAAUCGCGGAUCAGCAUGUCGCGGUGAAUACGUUCCCGGGUCUUGUACACACCGCCCGUCACACCAUGGGAGCGGGUUCCGCCAGAAUGUAGGUAGCCUAACCGC